UAGGGAAUCUUCCACAAUGGACGCAAGUCUGAUGGAGCAACGCCGCGUGAGUGAAGAAGGCUUUCGGGUCGUAAAACUCUGUUAUUGAAGAAGAACGUGUGUGACAGUAACUGGUCAUGCAGUGACGGUAUUCAAUCAGAAAGUCACGGCUAACUACGUGCCAGCAGCCGCGGUAAUACGUAGGUGGCAAGCGUUGUCCGGAUUUAUUGGGCGUAAAGCGAGUGCAGGCGGUCUUUUAAGUCUGAUGUGAAAGCCUUCGGCUUAACCGAAGAAGGGCAUCGGAAACUGGGAGACUUGAGUGCAGAAGAGGAGAGUGGAACUCCAUGUGUAGCGGUGAAAUGCGUAGAUAUAUGGAAGAACACCAGUGGCGAAGGCG
rnacentral:rRNA from 1 species